rnacentral:rRNA from 1 species
UACGGAGGGUGCGAGCGUUGUUCGGAAUCACUGGGCGUAAAGCGCGUGUAGGCGGCCCUGUAAGUCUGAUGUGAAAGCCCGGGGCUUACCCCCGGAAGUGCAUUGGAAACUGCAAGGCUCGAGUACCGGAGAGGAAGGUGGAAUUCCUGGUGUAGCGGUGAAAUGCGUAGAUAUCAGGAGGAACACCGGUGGCGAAGGCGGCCUUCUGGACGGAUACUGACGCUGAGACGCGAAAGCGUGGGGAGCAAACAGG